UACAGAGGGGGCAAGCGUUAUUCGGAAUUAUUGGGCGUAAAGGGCGCGUAGGCGGUUCUUCAAGUCUCUCGUGAAGUCCCUCGGCUUAACUGAGGACGUGCGGGAGAUACUGAAGGGCUUGAGUCCGGAAGAGGGUGGUGGAAUUCCCAGUGUAGCGGUGAAAUGCGUAGAUAUUGGGAGGAACACCGGUGGCGAAGGCGGCCACCUGGGCCGGAACUGACGCUGAGGCGCGAAAGCGUGGGGAGCAAACGGG
rnacentral:rRNA from 1 species